rnacentral:rRNA from 1 species
UACAGAGGAGCCAAGCGUUGUCCGGAUUGACUGGGCGUAAAGCGCACGCAGGCGGCUGCGCGCGUGGGGUGUGAAAUCUGGCCGCUUAACGGCCAGGCGCCAUCCCAUACGGCGCGUCUGGAGUGAUGCAGAGGUCGAUGGAAUUGCCGGUGUAGUGGUGAAAUGCGUAGAGAUCGGCAGGAACACCCAGGGGGAAACCAGCCGACUGGGCAAGUGCUGACGCUGAGGUGCGAGAGCGUGGGGAGCGAACCGG